ACCCGCUGAACUUAAGCAUAUCAAUAAGCGGAGGAAAAGAAACUAACAAGGAUUCCCCUAGUAACGGCGAGUGAAGCGGGAAGAGCUCAAAUUUAAAAUCUGGCAGUGUAUUCUGUCCGAGUUGUAGUCUAGAGAAGCAUCAUCCGUGCUGGACCAUGUACAAGUCUCUUGGAACAGAGCGUCAUAGAGGGUGAGAAUCCCGUCCUUGACAUGGACUCCCAGUGCUUUGUGUUGUGCUCUCAACGAGUCGAGUUGUUUGGGAAUGCAGCUCAAAAUGGGUGGUAAAUUCCAUCUAAAGCUAAAUAUUGGCGAGAGACCGAUAGCGAACAAGUACCGUGAGGGAAAGAUGAAAAGCACUUUGGAGAGAGAGUUAAACAGUACGUGAAAUUGUUGAAAUGGAAACGCUUGAAGUCAGUCGCGUUCUCUGGGAUUCAGCCUUGCUUUUGCUUGGUGCAUUUCCUAGUCUACGGGCCAGCAUGAAUUUUGACCAAUGGAAAAAGGCUGGGGGAAUGUGGCACCUUCGGGUGUGUUAUAGCCCCUUGUCACAUACGUUGGUUGGGAUUGAGGUCUUAGUGCACGCUUCGGUUGUGCUUUGAUGCUGGCGUA
rnacentral:rRNA from 1 species